GACGUCAAUUAGGUUGUAAUUUUCCUAGAUAAAUUAGUUUCGCACGUAAAUUUAAAGUGUACACACGCCAUUCGUUCUUUAAAUUCAAAUAGUCGGUCAAGAACAAAACAAGGAUUAAAAAGUGAGAAUCGGACUGAACAUUUUUUCUAAGGAGAACGUGGCACGUCAAUUAUGUUACACGGGCAAAUCAUAUCGCGCAAUAGUAAAUCAUUAAAACGGAACAAGGAGUAAGUUGAUAUAGGUCUUUUCUGUGUAACAAACAGACACCGCGACCACGGUGGUUCUGUCGGGUCACGACUGCCAAGGCCGGAAUGAUAUGUGUAGUAUACAGCUCAAUGACUUAACGCUGUACUUACAGUUAGCAACCUUUCAGCUUGAUUUAAAAACUUUAUACGUUCGCAUUCGUCGGUAGCAGUCAACUUCGUGUUGGAUGGCAAGGUUGGAGAUCCUACGUUGUGUAUACUAGCAGUUCUUUUAGUGUUGGGACAUGAAACAUAAUCGGGAACGGAAUUAAAUAAAAUGCAAAAUUUUGUGCGUAAGAAAAGAUAAGAACGUAUAAAUUAUAUAACGCACACAAUAAGCUAGGAAGAAACCUUCUUUGUUGAACUAAAAAAUCCUGACAGAACAUACACAAAAGACAAAACUACAAGAAAAAUGACAACUAGGACAAUAAAAUGCAAGAGAAAUACACAAACCAAACAUUGCAAAUUGGGCGGUAAAAAUCACGUAUCGAAUCAAA